AUUGAACGCUGGCGGCAGGCCUAACACAUGCAAGUCGAGCGGAUGCAGGGAGCUUGCUCCUGGAUUCAGCGGCGGACGGGUGAGUAAUGCCUAGGAAUCUGCCUGGUAGUGGGGGAUAACGUCCGGAAACGGGCGCUAAUACCGCAUACGUCCUGAGGGAGCAAGUGGGGGAUCUUCGGACCUCACGCUAUCAGAUGAGCCUAGGUCGGAUUAGCUAGUUGGUGGGGUAAAGGCCUACCAAGGCGACGAUCCGUAACUGGUCUGAGAGGAUGAUCAGUCACACUGGAACUGAGACACGGUCCAGACUCCUACGGGAGGCAGCAGUGGGGAAUAUUGGACAAUGGGCGAAAGCCUGAUCCAGCCAUGCCGCGUGUGUGAAGAAGGUCUUCGGAUUGUAAAGCACUUUAAGUUGGGAGGAAGGGCAGUAAGUUAAUACCUUGCUGUUUUGACGUUACCAACAGAAUAAGCACCGGCUAACUUCGUG
rnacentral:rRNA from 1 species